rnacentral:rRNA from 1 species
UACGAAGGGGGCUAGCGUUGCUCGGAAUCACUGGGCGUAAAGCGCACGUAGGCGGACUUUUAAGUCGGAGGUGAAAUCCUGGAGCUCAACUCCAGAACUGCCUUCGAUACUGAGAGUCUUCGAGUUCGGGAGAGGUGAGUGGAACUGCGAGUGUAGAGGUGAAAUUCGUAGAUAUUCGCAAGAACACCAGUGGCGAAGGCGGCUCACUGGCCCGAUACUGACGCUGAGGCACGAAAGCGUGGGGAUCAAACAGG